GGUAAAUCAGUCAGUUUCGGAGGAAUCAACGUUGGAGCGGUUGCAGCUGUUUCAGUUGCAGUAGCUUUAAUUCUGUUACUGUUGUGUGUACUUAUAAAGAUCCACUGGGGAGUAACACUAGGAUGCCUGUGUGAAAUCUGUGACGGUGUGUGCACCAUGCUGGCAGAAUACAUUGAAGAUUAGAAAAACGGUUGAUGAGUUUGUUACAGAAAGACUAAGAGGAGCUUUAAUUCUGUGUUUUAGAGACAAACUCAUUGUUCUUUAACUGAUAAAGGAAUUAUAUGAACAAAAACACUUGAGCACUGAUUUUAAAUUAGGCAGUUGCUGCUUGAGCAAAUUAUUUUGUCUUCAUGUUUAAAUUUCGUUUCAGAGUUGUUUUCUGCUAUUAAAUAAAUUAUCAGUUGACUUCCAUGAUUUUUGAUAGAACAUAUUAUUUUAAAUCCUGCAGUAAAUGAUUGUAAAAUGACCUGAAUAAAAUGUAAUGAAGUUCAUUUCCUUAAAAAGUGCACUCAUGUACAGAUUAGAAGUACUUCUACUUGAGUUUUUCCAUCUUGCUCACUACAUUUCAGAGUCCAGUGAUGUAGAUUACUCCUCUGAUAUAAAUUAGACUGGUAAUUAGAGUGAGAUCGUGACUGUUUUUGUUGUGUGGAUUUAGAGUAAGCUGAGGCCCAGAACACAAACAGGAAAUAAACUCAACAGGACUGAACAAAUUCAAUCUUUCUGUGAGAUAUAUCAUCUGCAGAGAGUUGUCUUGUUUCAAAAUGGAUCUUUACAGGGUGACUAGAUGCAUUUAUCUGAUAUAAUUUGUGCUUAAUUGUGCUAUUUCUGAUCAUUUCAUGAACAUAAAUGUCUGUUAAGUUUGACUAAAUUUAAUGUCACUGAGCAAAGCUGUUUAGUCAAAUAAUAAAAUGAAAGAACCAAUUCUGUUUAUACUAGAAUGGUCAGACUUCACUGUGAGUUUUUUACUUUAUGUCUAUGAAACUUAGAUUUUUUUAAGUGCUUGGAGAAUACUGUUUGAAAAAGUCAUUUCUUUUUUCUUUUUUGCUUUGUUUGUGAAUUUUCUGAACAUUUUCUUUUUAACAUGUUCAAAAUGUUGUUUGUUGAAAUAAACUGUAAAACACAGACAACAGAAUUAACUUGUUUAAUAUUCUCUGGAACACUACAAGAGAAUAAACUGUCAUAUGUCACUUGCUUUACCAACUUUGUAUUUAAGCAGGUAAUAAAAGUACUAGUAUUAACUCUUAAAUGCAAUUUUAGUUAUUGCCUCACAAUAUAAAAUUCCUCUGAAUAAGUUGAUCAUGAUGCUGACUCUCUCAAACUCUGUAACCAGCAAAGAAAUUCGGGCCUUCCUGAUCUGGUUUAUCUGGGUCCUGGUGGCAAUGGACUGCUCAUGCUGAAGAAUUUCUACUCUGGCCUUUUCCUCUGGAGUCAGCCCAUUUCUCACAAAGCUCUGAUUAAGAAGCCCUCUGUAGCACAUAACCACACAUACAUGUUAGUAACUGCUCAUUUGAUAAACCUCAAUAAUCUGUGUGAUUAGUUUAAAUCAUUUGAUUUUCAAUUUGAACUGACACACAUUUUGUUUGUUUUUGGUAAGGGAAAAAAUGUAUUCACUGUAUAAUUUGUUCAGUUGGCUUUCAAUUUAAAUGUUGUUUCUAUUUUUAUCUAUAUUUUGGGAAGAAAAAACGGUGAAAAGCAGGCUAAGAACAUUCUUAUUUAACUAUCCAUUAUUCAUUUCACACAACCCAUACGUUCGUUCUUUUCUUACUAAUAAUAUUUGCUUGAGAUUGGAGAUUUUUUGUUUGUGGCUAGACAUCAUUUGGAUGCAUAAGGUCACAAAAUCUGCUGAGAGCUAUUUAACUCAUUAUUACAAACAUCCUAUAUGUCCUCAAAUAAAAAAGGUUCAUAUCACCUAAGCUACAUUCAGUUUGUGCAUAUUUAACUAAACAGAUGUUCUGAGUAGAAUAAUGGGACAAAUCCGUAUGGCUUGAUCUUUGAUUUUUUUCCCUUUCAAAAUAAAAGCCAGCAAACUAAAUAGCUGUUUCCUUUUUUCCUUUUGCCGUUGUAAAACACAUAGAAAAUGU